UGGGGAUAUAGCUCAGAGGUAGAGCACUUGCCUAACAUGUGAGAGGCUCUGGGUUAAACUCCAGGUACUUAA
rnacentral:tRNA from 1 species